rnacentral:rRNA from 1 species
GAAACAUCUUCGGGUUGUGAGGUUAAGCGACUAAGCGUACACGGUGGAUGCCCUGGCAGUCAGAGGCGAUGAAGGACGUGCUAAUCUGCGAUAAGCGUCGGUAAGGUGAUAUGAACCGUUAUAACCGGCGAUUUCCGAAUGGGGAAACCCAGUGUGAUUCGUCACACUAUCAUUAACUGAAUCCAUAGGUUAAUGAGGCGAACCGGGGGAACUGAAACAUCUAAGUACCCCGAGGAAAAGAAAUCAACCGAGAUUCCCCCAGUAGCGGCGAGCGAACGGGGAGCAGCCCAGAGCCUGAAUCAGUGUGUGUGUUAGUGGAAGCGUCUGGAAAGGCGCGCGAUACAGGGUGACAGCCCCGUACACAAAAAUGCACAUGCUGUGAGCUCGAUGAGUAGGGCGGGACACGUGGUAUCCUGUCUGAAUAUGGGGGGACCAUCCUCCAAGGCUAAAUACUCCUGACUGACCGAUAGUGAACCAGUACCGUGAGGGAAAGGCGAAAAGAACCCCGGCGAGGGGAGUGAAAAAGAACCUGAAACCGUGUACGUACAAGCAGUGGGAGCACGCUUAGGCGUGUGACUGCGUACCUUUUGUAUAAUGGGUCAGCGACUUAUAUUCUGUAGCAAGGUUAACCGAAUAGGGGAGCCGAAGGGAAACCGAGUCUUAACUGGGCGUUAAGUUGCAGGGUAUAGACCCGAAACCCGGUGAUCUAGCCAUGGGCAGGUUGAAGGUUGGGUAACACUAACUGGAGGACCGAACCGACUAAUGUUGAAAAAUUAGCGGAUGACUUGUGGCUGGGGGUGAAAGGCCAAUCAAACCGGGAGAUAGCUGGUUCUCCCCGAAAGCUAUUUAGGUAGCGCCUCGUGAAUUCAUCUCCGGGGGUAGAGCACUGUUUCGGCAAGGGGGUCAUCCCGACUUACCAACCCGAUGCAAACUGCGAAUACCGGAGAAUGUUAUCACGGGAGACACACGGCGGGUGCUAACGUCCGUCGUGAAGAGGGAAACAACCCAGACCGCCAGCUAAGGUCCCAAAGUCAUGGUUAAGUGGGAAACGAUGUGGGAAGGCCCAGACAGCCAGGAUGUUGGCUUAGAAGCAGCCAUCAUUUAAAGAAAGCGUAAUAGCUCACUGGUCGAGUCGGCCUGCGCGGAAGAUGUAACGGGGCUAAACCAUGCACCGAAGCUGCGGCAGCGACGCUGAUGCGUUGUGGGUAGGGGAGCGUUCUGUAAGCCUGUGAAGGUGUGCUGUGAGGCAUGCUGGAGGUAUCAGAAGUGCGAAUGCUGACAUAAGUAACGAUAAAGCGGGUGAAAAGCCCGCUCGCCGGAAGACCAAGGGUUCCUGUCCAACGUUAAUCGGGGCAGGGUGAGUCGACCCCUAAGGCGAGGCCGAAAGGCGUAGUCGAUGGGAAACAGGUUAAUAUUCCUGUACUUGGUGUUACUGCGAAGGGGGGACGGAGAAGGCUAUGUUGGCCGGGCGACGGUUGUCCCGGUUUAAGCGUGUAGGCUGGUUUUCCAGGCAAAUCCGGAAAAUCAAGGCUGAGGCGUGAUGACGAGGCACUACGGUGCUGAAGCAACAAAUGCCCUGCUUCCAGGAAAAGCCUCUAAGCAUCAGGUAACAUCAAAUCGUACCCCAAACCGACACAGGUGGUCAGGUAGAGAAUACCAAGGCGCUUGAGAGAACUCGGGUGAAGGAACUAGGCAAAAUGGUGCCGUAACUUCGGGAGAAGGCACGCUGAUAUGUAGGUGAAGUCCCUCGCGGAUGGAGCUGAAAUCAGUCGAAGAUACCAGCUGGCUGCAACUGUUUAUUAAAAACACAGCACUGUGCAAACACGAAAGUGGACGUAUACGGUGUGACGCCUGCCCGGUGCCGGAAGGUUAAUUGAUGGGGUCAGCGCAAGCGAAGCUCUUGAUCGAAGCCCCGGUAAACGGCGGCCGUAACUAUAACGGUCCUAAGGUAGCGAAAUUCCUUGUCGGGUAAGUUCCGACCUGCACGAAUGGCGUAAUGAUGGCCAGGCUGUCUCCACCCGAGACUCAGUGAAAUUGAACUCGCUGUGAAGAUGCAGUGUACCCGCGGCAAGACGGAAAGACCCCGUGAACCUUUACUAUAGCUUGACACUGAACAUUGAGCCUUGAUGUGUAGGAUAGGUGGGAGGCUUUGAAGUGUGGACGCCAGUCUGCAUGGAGCCGACCUUGAAAUACCACCCUUUAAUGUUUGAUGUUCUAACGUUGACCCGUAAUCCGGGUUGCGGACAGUGUCUGGUGGGUAGUUUGACUGGGGCGGUCUCCUCCUAAAGAGUAACGGAGGAGCACGAAGGUUGGCUAAUCCUGGUCGGACAUCAGGAGGUUAGUGCAAUGGCAUAAGCCAGCUUGACUGCGAGCGUGACGGCGCGAGCAGGUGCGAAAGCAGGUCAUAGUGAUCCGGUGGUUCUGAAUGGAAGGGCCAUCGCUCAACGGAUAAAAGGUACUCCGGGGAUAACAGGCUGAUACCGCCCAAGAGUUCAUAUCGACGGCGGUGUUUGGCACCUCGAUGUCGGCUCAUCACAUCCUGGGGCUGAAGUAGGUCCCAAGGGUAUGGCUGUUCGCCAUUUAAAGUGGUACGCGAGCUGGGUUUAGAACGUCGUGAGACAGUUCGGUCCCUAUCUGCCGUGGGCGCUGGAGAACUGAGGGGGGCUGCUCCUAGUACGAGAGGACCGGAGUGGACGCAUCACUGGUGUUCGGGUUGUCAUGCCAAUGGCACUGCCCGGUAGCUAAAUGCGGAAGAGAUAAGUGCUGAAAGCAUCUAAGCACGAAACUUGCCCCGAGAUGAGUUCUCCCUGACUCCUUGAGAGUCCUGAAGGAACGUUGAAGACGACGACGUUGAUAGGCCGGGUGUGUAAGCGCAGCGAUGCGUUGAGCUAACCGGUACUAAUGAACCGUGAGGCUUAACCUU